rnacentral:rRNA from 1 species
GAUGAACGCUGGCGGCGUGCCUAAUACAUGCAAGUCGAGCGAAGCGGGGACGGGUGAGUAACACGUGGAUAACCCCCUAUAUGACUGGGAUAACCUCGGGAAACCGGUGCUAAACCGGAUAAUUAUAGAAGGAUCGGCGCUGCUUUUGCUGGUUGGAAAGGUAACGGCUUACCGAGGCAACGAUGCAUAGCCGACCUGAGAGGGUGAUCGGCCACACUGGAACUGAGACACGGUCCAGACUCCUACGGGAGGCAGCAGUAGGGAAUCUUCCGCAAUGGGCGAAAGCCUGACGGAGCAACGCCGCGUGAAUGAUGAAGGUCUUCGGAUCGUAAAGCUCUGUUAUUGGGGAAGCGGUACCUAAUCAGAAAGCCACGGCUAACUACGUGCCAGCAGCCGCGGUAAUUC